UCAGGCCUAACACAUGCAAGUCGAGCGCGCCUUUCGGGGUGAGCGGCGGACGGGUUAGUAACGCGUGGGAAUAUACCCUUUGGUACGGAAUAGCCUCUGGAAACGGAGAGUAAUACCGUAUGAGCCCUUCGGGGGAAAGAUUUAUCGCCAAAGGAUUAGCCCGCGUUAGAUUAGGUAGUUGGUGGGGUAAUGGCCUACCAAGCCUACGAUCUAUAGCUGGUUUUAGAGGAUGAUCAGCAACACUGGGACUGAGACACGGCCCAGACUCCUACGGGAGGCAGCAGUGGGGAAUCUUGGACAAUGGGGGCAACCCUGAUCCAGCCAUGCCGCGUGAGUGAUGAAGGCCUUAGGGUCGUAAAGCUCUUUCGCCUGUGAAGAUAAUGACGGUAGCAGGUAAAGAAACCCCGGCUAACUCCGUGCCAGCAGCCGCGGUAAUACGGAGGGGGUUAGCGUUGUUCGGAAUUACUGGGCGUAAAGCGCACGUAGGCGGACCAGAAAGUUGGGGGUGAAAUCCCGGGGCUCAACCCCGGAACUGCCUCCAAAACUAUUGGUCUAGAGUUCGAGAGAGGUGAGUGGAAUUCCAAGUGUAGAGGUGAAAUUCGUAGAUAUUUGGAGGAACACCAGUGGCGAAGGCGGCUCACUGGCUCGAUACUGACGCUGAGGUGCGAAAGUGUGGGGAGCAAACAGGAUUAGAUACCCU
rnacentral:rRNA from 1 species